rnacentral:lncRNA from 1 species
AUUUAUAACUAUUUUGCCGGUUUAAGAGGUUUCGCUCUAUUAUAUCUUAUAUAUAGGACUUCUAAAUUAUGGGGUCUCACAUUCUCCUCCACUUUAAGUCUUGACAUUCUUGUUAUACUCAAACUGCCAAGUACCAGGUGUGAGACUCGUCUCACUAGCCAUAAUGGCUCGGCCAAGACUCAUUCACACUUUCAGUUGGUAAUUAGCUCUGAUACCAACUAUGACAUCCAACUUUCCAGGGGGUCACCUAUCCUAUAAUUAUUCUAGCCCUAACACUCUUAACUAUCUUAACCUUUUGAGCAUAUCCAUCACCCAAAAUGUUAUAUCCAGGUUAAAAGAUUUCGAUCUAUUAUAUCUUAUACAUAAAACUAUUCCAAAUCUUGGGGUCUCAAUUUGAGACUUAAGUUUACUAUUAAAAGUUUCAACUUAGUCUCAAAUAAUUUUAAAUUGUGCAACUUAAGUCUCAAACAGUGCAAUUUCUAUUUAAUGUUGUGCAAUUUAGUUUCAAAUAAUUAUAAAUAGUGCAGCUUUAUCUCAAACAGUGCAACUUAGAUUCAAAUAGUAUAAUUUUUGCCUUAAAUAAUGCAACUUUAUUUUCUUCUUUUUAUUUUCUACUUCUUGAAGUUUUCUGUAACGGUCAUGACAUAUAAUGACCUUCACUAGAGAAAUUUUUUUAUUUUUCUUAUAUUUUUCUUUUUUAUUAUUUCUCCUUCUUCCUUUUCUUUCACUUUUUGUAUCUUUUUUCAUUACUGCACCUCAUCCCUUGUCCUCUGCCACAACCGUCGCUCCCCCAGUACCAACUUGCUCUCCCUCCCCAUCAUUCUUAAGCUGUGUUUGGUUGGAGUAUAAGUAAGAACUGCUUAUUUCAAGAAUAGGUACAAGUUCAGUUAUAAGCAGAAAUUAGACAAAUUUUAUGUUUGGAUGAAAAUUGAGUUGUUUUUAGGAAUAAGGUAAAUAGUGUUUGGAUAGUUAUAUUGGAACAAAAAGAAUAAGAGUUAUAAUUUUAAAUUAAAAUUAUUUUAUCUAAUUGAUUAACAUCAAAAUAUUACUUAAAAAAUAAAUUAAUAUCAAUAAUUAUAAAUAAUAAAUUAAUUAAAUAAUAAUAAAUUAUAAAUAAUUAUAAAUAAUAAAUUAAUUAAUAAAAAAAUUAAUUAGAUAAUAACUUAUAAAAAAUUUUAAUAAUUGUAAAUUAUAGAUUAAUUAAUUAAUUAAUAAUUAAUAAUUAAUUAAUAAUUAAUACUAAAAAAUUAAAAAUAAUAAAUAUUAAUUAAUAAUAAUUUAUUAAUAAUAAAUUAAUUAGAUAAUAUAGUAUAAAUUAUAAACUAAUAAUAAUUAUAAAUAAUAAAUUAUUACUAAUUAUAAAUUAUAAAUAAAUUAAUUAAUAAUAAAAAUAUUAAUUAAUUAAUUAUUAAUAAUUAUAAAUAAAAUAUUAUUAAUAAUUAUAAAUCAUAAAUUAUUUAAUUAAUAUUAAAUUAAUUAAUUAGAUAAUUAUAAAUAAAAAUAAUUUAAAUAACUUAAUUAAUUAUAGUUAAUUAAUAGUAGAUCAAUUAUUAAUUAAUAAUAAAUAAAUUAAUAAUAAAUUAUUAUAAAUAAAUAAAUAAAUAAAUAAUUUUAUUAUUUAAGCAAUAAAUAAUAAUUUAUAUGCAGUGUUUCUGAACUUUGGAUAGGAUUGGCUUCAGUGUAAGUGACUGGUCGGCGCAUCUAGAGAGUGUCGGACUGAGUUUCUCCGCGAAAUGGAUGAAGAAAUGGACUCGGCGCACUCAAAUAGGAAAACUGGAGUUUUGCCACAUUCGGGCGCCCAGAACUGGUCUUGGGUCGCCCAGAAGUUGAGUGCAGUUUUGAUCAGAACUGGAAGCCAAUUCGGGUCCAUAUUUCGGGCACCCGAAUGAGGG